AUUGAACGCUGGCGGAAUGCUUUACACAUGCAAGUCGAGCGGCAGCACGGGGGCAACCCUGGUGGCGAGCGGCGAACGGGUGAGUAAUACAUCGGAACACGCCCAGUCGUGGGGGAUAACACUUCGAAAGAAGUGCUAAUACCGCAUCCGUACUGAGGGAGAAAGCGGGGGAUCUUCGGACCUCGCGCGAUUGGAGUGGCCGAUGUCAGAUUAGCUAGAUGGUGGGGUAAAGGCCUACCAAGGCAACGAUCUGUAGCUGGUCUGAGAGGAUGAUCAGCCACACUGGGACUGAGACACGGCCCAGACUCCUACGGGAGGCAGCAGUGGGGAAUUUUGGACAAUGGGGGCAACCCUGAUCCAGCCAUUCCGCGUGAGUGAAGAAGGCCUUCGGGUUGUAAAGCUCUUUCGGCAGGAACGAAACGGCGAGCUCUAACAUAGCUUGCUAAUGACGGUACCUGAAGAAGAAGCACCGGCUAACUACGUGCCAGCCGCCGCCGUAAAAC
rnacentral:rRNA from 1 species